AACUCUUAAUUUCAAAUAUUCAUAUCAGAUACGAGGACAGUGAAAGCAAUCCUGGUCACCCAUUUGCAGCAGGUGUGACCUUGGAGAAACUCUUAGCUGUGACAGUUGAUGACAAUGGGAAUGAGACUUUUAUUACUGGUGGUUCACUAGACCGUAUACAAAAGGUUUUUAGAUAUGGCACUAAAGAAGGCAAACCUGCUGAUAGAAUUGUCAAACAACACACUUAUAUUCUGGAACCAAUUACAGGAAAUGCAAAGUAUACAAAGUUAAGGGCAAAUGAAUUGGCUAAGAGUGAUUAACCUUUGCAGAA